rnacentral:rRNA from 1 species
UACGUAGGGGGCAAGCGUUGUCCGGAAUCAUUGGGCGUAAAGGGUGCGUAGGCGGCGCGGUAAGUCGGGUGUGAAAUCUCGGGGCUUAACUCCGAAACUGCAUUCGAUACUGCCGUGCUUGAGGACUGGAGAGGAGACUGGAAUUUACGGUGUAGCAGUGAAAUGCGUAGAGAUCGUAAGGAAGACCAGUGGCGAAGGCGGGUCUCUGGACAGUUCCUGACACUGAGGCACGAAGGCCAGGGGAGCAAACGGG